GAGCAGGUCAGCGAGCUGUCUCUGGUGUCUGUUGGCUGGGCGUUCUCCUCUCUGCUCCUUGGAGCCAAACACAGGCAACUUCACAGCCCACCUCCAUCGCUCAUCUUCUCAUCUUCCUUUAACUGUUUUCUCGCCGAGAAGCAACGCUGCGCCCACAUUUCCACUGUGCUGCAUGCUCCUUUUGUUUCCCCAUUGGCUCUUGCUGACUUCCUCUUGAACAUAAGCACAUUAACACCACAGCCAGCAGUGGGGAUAGAAGCGGAAUUUAAAAGUGGCUAUACAUUUGGUUAGUAACAGGACUGAACAUUAAAUGAAAGCCACGAAACUGACAUCUCCCUCCUUCUCUACACUGCCUGCAGCUUUUUUUGUCGACUUCACUUUAGCCACACGCCACAGCUAUGUCUGCUCCAGGAUCCAUCUGACCCCUAGCCAUAGCGUGGCUCUGCUGUCUUGUCAUGACAAUUGGAGUCUGUGUGGAAACAACUAGGACCAGUGUGCAGUGUCCACAGCAAGAGACACUGCUCAUCCGCUAAAUUCUUUGCACAGCAUAAGAGGAAAAUAACAAAGCGGUGCCUCAUUUGUAGUUCACAUAACAAGGGAUUUUUCAUGCUCACUGUGCACAUAAGUACUUUUAAUCCACAUACAGGUCAAGCUAAGAGUCUGUGUUACCUUACUUCACAGCAACAUUUUCCAACAUUUUUAGCCAUUUGACAAACAAAACUAUAUUUUAAGCUUGAGUAAAUGAAACCUCACUUAAAAAAGCAAAAGACAUUUACAAUCCAGGGUUUCCUCUUUGGUGGGCAACAAAAUGUUUUACAGGCAGGCACGAUGUCGAUUUAUCAAUCAAGGAGGUGAAUUACUUCUGGAAAAUGACUUAAAAGCAAAAAAUGAGACAAAAGUGAAAACUUUAUCAAUUCAGCCAAGCACAAGUGACUUGAAGCAUCUCUCUGACGCAGACACACACACUCACACAGAGACGCACUUUCACACUGAGGUCACAUUUUGAGUUUCGACUACUACUGAAACUGAUAAGCACUCAUAAGUAAACAAUACGUGAUUAUGCAACUCAAGCAGAACCUUGAGCUGAACAACUUAAGCCGGCCCCAUAAAACCACCCACUGGACGUUUCUGAUUAACAGCCUCGAAGACAGUCAAGGCUCAGACUGAGACAGAUAACAGUUGAGUUUCUGACCCUUAUUCUCACUUCAGGAAUGGGACAAAAAAUGCUGCCAUAGAGAAACAAGAAUAUGGGAACAACCUACCUAAGAAAUAUGUGUGAAGUUUAGUGCUUCCAUCCACGUAAUCCUAACAAAGGUGUGCCAUACUGAAGCCUUUUUUUUAGUCUAAUACAAAUAUUUCAAAUAAUAAUGCAGCAAGCACAGAAAAGACAUUGGAUCAUUAUGCGAGUGACAUUACUAAUGUCAGAUAACUAGAUUAUAGAGGUUUGUUGCAAUAUAGUUGGAUAAGAAAAUAUCAAAAGCUGAUGAUAUUUUGGAACUGUAAAAUUUAACUUAUCAUUAUGAGGACACGCAGAUAUAGCUGUCCAAUAUUUGCCCUGCUUACUGAUAUCGCAUAUCAGAAAAUAAGACAGCAUUCACCACCGUCAGUGGCUGAUAUUCAUCGGUUGCACUGGCUACAUGUUUUAAAUAUGAGUAGUAAAGAGUUUGAAGACUUCUUAAAAGUGUUAACUUUUAUUAAGAUUAUUUAAGAUUUAUUUUUUCCCCUAGGAAAACUAAAUAACAACAAAAAAAACCCUGAACAAAAAUACAUUAUAAAACUUGAACAUCUGGGGUCUAAAUCAGAGAAGACAUUGUUUGGCCUAAUCUUCUCUAAGGCAUGUGUCAGUGGCAAAAGACUCAAAGAAAUAAAAAUCUGGACACAAUUUCUAUGCAAACCUGAAUGCAAAUAAUAUUCCUAUCAUUUAAAUCAGCUACAAGCAUAAUUCCCUCAUUUGCCACAGAGCCUGAGCUGCUUCUCCUCUCACAAGUGGCAGCAGGGUAAAGGUCUUGCUGACUGAGCAGCAAUGAGUUUGGGGAAACAUAAAAGGAAGUAAGCAGCCACAGUGAAAAAAGUGCAGUGGUAGUAAGUGCUCAGCUAACGUGACUAUGGUUGGAUGAAAAGACAGAAAUGCACGAAAGUCAAACAGGCCAUCGUCAUUAGCUCAGCGCAGGCUGUUGUUACCGAUCCAUCUGUCUCACAAGAAAUCAUCUAAUGAAUCAGAUGCACACUCUGAGACAUCCAAGGAGAGAGGAGGGGGACAGUGGAUUUCUGCAAUCCUCUAUCAGAUGUCGAGUACAUUUCUGAGCUGCAAGAGCACAGAGGUCACACCUAAUAUAAACUCAAUCUGUCCAGUUUCUUCCAGGGACAAGAUUUUCCUCAUUUUUAAUUUAUGAAUUCAGUUAAAUUUACUGCAAAGCUGCUUCAACAUAUUAUCAUUCGACUGGCUUCUAUGUAGAUAUUAGAGCAUAUUUGAUGACUGAGUUUAAAUUUCCUUACUACACUAAAAGCAACAUCUACUGUUUUCACCAUGAAGCAUCAGCUGCUAUUUAUAUCACGUUAUGCUUUUAUUUUGGCUAUUUUUGGACAAAAGUGCAGAAACAAGGGAUGAAAUUUGUGGUGUCACAGAUAAAUCUGAUUGCUACUCCCUCUUCCCUACUCCAUCAGGAUUAUAAAUCUAAUGCCUACUUAUGAAAGCUCUCUCGCAAUCUCCAUUUACAAAAAGGAGGGGUGGGAGUUGUGAUCUUGGCACAAAGCAUCUCUGCCAGUGGCGGUGCUCUUUGCGGCCAUUAAAACUGACACACAGAGCAUGCAUUGUUGGAAACACCUGCUGGAGAUGGGAACCAACAGUCCACAGGUUUCAGGCUGCAAAAAAUACCCGCUUCUUUGCAAACGAAUGGUGGUGUUUAGUCCCUGCUCUGGCACCAACUGUCUCCCUCGUGGCCCAGUUUCCAGUCACACGGGGCUUUUCUCUCCUGUCUCUUCAGUUCUGCUUACAUCUCACCUUUCCUACAGCCUCGAUAAAGGAAUAAUCAUACUAUUGUUGGUCCAGAUUCAGCUUUAAAGUAUCUGCUUACAAUUUACAGUACUGUCCCCCACCAUCAGUACCACUACACCUCAUUCUCCAUUCGGUGCACAUACAUUAGUGAUAUUUAGCAGUCCUUGCCUAGACAUUUUAGUGUACUUUCAGGGAAGGCUGAAAACUUGCAGUUUUCUAAAUGAAUGCAAUGCCAAGUUAUGAGUAUCACAGUCACAUAGGUGUGAUAGAUCCAGGGGAAAGCACAGGAUGACACCCUAUACUCAACAGCGGCUCACCUCAUGAAUUAUUUCAAGCAGUAGAGAUGCUUUGUUUGGACUACUUCUCCACUACAUUGUAGAGAAAUGCUGUUCAUCUGAAAACCAUGCUUGUUUUUCAUGUACAUGUCAGCGCACUCUGCAGCUAAAUGUUACCUUAUGUGUGCACUGAAGGGAGUUUGGGGCCCCAGAUGGAAGAGUGAGGAGCCACAGUAAAGUGGGUGGGUACUAUGGGAAUGGCCUCCGUUAUAGAUCCUUUUCAGCAAUAAUGCCAUUACCCUAAUUUUGCAGAUUCUUUAGAAUGCUGGAUCUUUCUAGAAGUGGUCCUAAGUUAGUGUUUAGCCAGAUGCAAUGUGUGCCUUGUCAGAGUCAGAGAGAAGCAGCUAUACUUUUCUCUGCCAGUUAAAAAAAGGGUUGGUGGGUUUAAAUGGGUUCACUACUACAAUCCCAGCCCACAUGAUAAUUACACCGUCACUAUGGAGGAGAAGCCGGCAGAAGACGGGCUCUGACCGGGUUCUAACGCCAGGUCUCUCCUUCCGCUCUCGAUCAUAGCAGCCACCAGCCGCGACACUGCCCCGGGUCCUGCGUUCUUCUGCGCCCGGGCCCAGUGAAACAGCAUGUCCAGGACCAAGGCACCCAGGUUGUCUCUGGUGAAGGAAGGAAAGGAAGGAAAAGACACCACUGAAAUAUAUGUUCAAAUCCCACAAUAAACCCUCUAAUCUCCUACUGUUAUACCUGUUAUAUCACACAGUAAUAUGUGUGAUAUCUUAAUAUAUACGUACAUUAAAAUCCUACACACAAAUACAAACACAGACACACACACACACACACACACACACACACACACACACAUAUACACACAUUUACAUAAUACGUUUUUCUUCCACCUCCAGGAUGAAUCAAUAGAGGUUUUCUGAACACGAGGAGAAGGGGGAGGGCCAGAUGAGCAUCAGUCUGUGUGUAAUCUCCUGCAGUGUCCCAGAUGGCUUCAUGAUGGCAGUGCAGAUUAAAACAAUCAAAAUUCUCUA